UCAAGACAAAGACCAGGUGUACCUGUAUGUGAAGCGUAACUGUAUGAUAGUAGACACUACUAUGUGUGAGCCCCACUAUAACCUGGUGUUGGAAACGAGGGUGUUUGAGAGACGCAGAUACACACUGAGCACCCUGACAGACGUAGAUAACUACUGGUUUGACCUGAUGUGUGUCUGCCUCAACACACCACUUGGCGUGAUCAGGAAGGAGCGUCCGAAGAGAAGCUCUGCCUCCAAAUCCCAGGAGGGGUCAGUCGGGGUUCCGUGGAA